CUGUCUCCACCCUCCUUCCUCUCCACCUAAAGAGCGUCUUCUCGGGCAGCUUAGGCUGCGGGAACUUAAGUCAGAGGAGAGCGUCGGGGCUAGUCUUUUGUGAGAGCAAUACCUCCGAGUAUAGAACCAUAUUUUCUGCAAAGAAGAGUAGCAGUGAGCCCAGUCCUUUUGUCCAAUUCACUGUGGGACACAAAACCCUGGAGAGCAAGAUCCGCUAUAAGACCAAGGAGCCUCUUUGGGAGGAUUGCUUCUGCUUUUUCGUCCACAACCCGAAGAGGCAGGAGCUGGAGCUGGAGGUA